UUAAGCGACUAAGCGUACACGGUGGAUGCCCUGGCAGUCAGAGGCGAUGAAGGACGUGCUAAUCUGCGAUAAGCGUCGGUAAGGUGAUAUGAACCGUUAUAACCGGCGAUUUCCGAAUGGGGAAACCCAGUGUGAUUCGUCACACUAUCAUUAACUGAAUCCAUAGGUUAAUGAGGCGAACCGGGGGAACUGAAACAUCUAAGUACCCCGAGGAAAAGAAAUCAACCGAGAUUCCCCCAGUAGCGGCGAGCGAACGGGGAGCAGCCCAGAGCCUGAAUCAGUGUGUGUGUUAGUGGAAGCGUCUGGAAAGGCGCGCGAUACAGGGUGACAGCCCCGUACACAAAAAUGCACAUGCUGUGAGCUCGAUGAGUAGGGCGGGACACGUGGUAUCCUGUCUGAAUAUGGGGGGACCAUCCUCCAAGGCUAAAUACUCCUGACUGACCGAUAGUGAACCAGUACCGUGAGGGAAAGGCGAAAAGAACCCCGGCGAGGGGAGUGAAAAAGAACCUGAAACCGUGUACGUACAAGCAGUGGGAGCCUCUUUAUGGGGUGACUGCGUACCUUUUGUAUAAUGGGUCAGCGACUUAUAUUCUGUAGCAAGGUUAACCGAAUAGGGGAGCCGAAGGGAAACCGAGUCUUAACUGGGCGUUAAGUUGCAGGGUAUAGACCCGAAACCCGGUGAUCUAGCCAUGGGCAGGUUGAAGGUUGGGUAACACUAACUGGAGGACCGAACCGACUAAUGUUGAAAAAUUAGCGGAUGACUUGUGGCUGGGGGUGAAAGGCCAAUCAAACCGGGAGAUAGCUGGUUCUCCCCGAAAGCUAUUUAGGUAGCGCCUCGUGAAUUCAUCUCCGGGGGUAGAGCACUGUUUCGGCAAGGGGGUCAUCCCGACUUACCAACCCGAUGCAAACUGCGAAUACCGGAGAAUGUUAUCACGGGAGACACACGGCGGGUGCUAACGUCCGUCGUGAAGAGGGAAACAACCCAGACCGCCAGCUAAGGUCCCAAAGUCAUGGUUAAGUGGGAAACGAUGUGGGAAGGCCCAGACAGCCAGGAUGUUGGCUUAGAAGCAGCCAUCAUUUAAAGAAAGCGUAAUAGCUCACUGGUCGAGUCGGCCUGCGCGGAAGAUGUAACGGGGCUAAACCAUGCACCGAAGCUGCGGCAGCGACACUAUGUGUUGUUGGGUAGGGGAGCGUUCUGUAAGCCUGCGAAGGUGUACUGUGAGGUAUGCUGGAGGUAUCAGAAGUGCGAAUGCUGACAUAAGUAACGAUAAAGCGGGUGAAAAGCCCGCUCGCCGGAAGACCAAGGGUUCCUGUCCAACGUUAAUCGGGGCAGGGUGAGUCGACCCCUAAGGCGAGGCCGAAAGGCGUAGUCGAUGGGAAACAGGUUAAUAUUCCUGUACUUGGUGUUACUGCGAAGGGGGGACGGAGAAGGCUAUGUUGGCCGGGCGACGGUUGUCCCGGUUUAAGCGUGUAGGCUGGUUUUCCAGGCAAAUCCGGAAAAUCAAGGCUGAGGCGUGAUGACGAGGCACUACGGUGCUGAAGCAACAAAUGCCCUGCUUCCAGGAAAAGCCUCUAAGCAUCAGGUAACAUCAAAUCGUACCCCAAACCGACACAGGUGGUCAGGUAGAGAAUACCAAGGCGCUUGAGAGAACUCGGGUGAAGGAACUAGGCAAAAUGGUGCCGUAACUUCGGGAGAAGGCACGCUGAUAUGUAGGUGAAGUCCCUUGCGGAUGGAGCUGAAAUCAGUCGAAGAUACCAGCUGGCUGCAACUGUUUAUUAAAAACACAGCACUGUGCAAACACGAAAGUGGACGUAUACGGUGUGACGCCUGCCCGGUGCCGGAAGGUUAAUUGAUGGGGUUAGCGGUAACGCGAAGCUCUUGAUCGAAGCCCCGGUAAACGGCGGCCGUAACUAUAACGGUCCUAAGGUAGCGAAAUUCCUUGUCGGGUAAGUUCCGACCUGCACGAAUGGCGUAAUGAUGGCCAGGCUGUCUCCACCCGAGACUCAGUGAAAUUGAACUCGCUGUGAAGAUGCAGUGUACCCGCGGCAAGACGGAAAGACCCCGUGAACCUUUACUAUAGCUUGACACUGAACAUUGAGCCUUGAUGUGUAGGAUAGGUGGGAGGCUUUGAAGUGUGGACGCCAGUCUGCAUGGAGCCGACCUUGAAAUACCACCCUUUAAUGUUUGAUGUUCUAACGUUGGCCCCUAAUCGGGGUUGCGGACAGUGUCUGGUGGGUAGUUUGACUGGGGCGGUCUCCUCCUAAAGAGUAACGGAGGAGCACGAAGGUUGGCUAAUCCUGGUCGGACAUCAGGAGGUUAGUGCAAUGGCAUAAGCCAGCUUGACUGCGAGCGUGACGGCGCGAGCAGGUGCGAAAGCAGGUCAUAGUGAUCCGGUGGUUCUGAAUGGAAGGGCCAUCGCUCAACGGAUAAAAGGUACUCCGGGGAUAACAGGCUGAUACCGCCCAAGAGUUCAUAUCGACGGCGGUGUUUGGCACCUCGAUGUCGGCUCAUCACAUCCUGGGGCUGAAGUAGGUCCCAAGG
rnacentral:rRNA from 1 species